rnacentral:lncRNA from 10 species
AGCAGUCUGGAGCACAAAGAAUCCCUAAUCACUGACAUUAAGAAAGAAGAAAAAUAUUCCUAGGACGAUCCUGGAGAGCAAAGGUCAUCAGCAGUCACUUGACUUUCCUUGGAUUUCUCAACUGCAGUAGUCACAUGGUCUGCUGAAAAUGAAUUCUCUUUAUUUUCAUCUGAUUUCAAGGAAUUAUGGUUUUCAGUGAUUUCUUCAUUUGGAUCUAUUUUGAGACAGAGUAAUAGCAUUAAAACCCCCUUCUGAAUUAAUAAGGUAACAUGGGCUUAAAAUCACUCAAUUCACUAUUGGAUUCUUUGGAGCUGUUAAUCUGUUCAGUGAAAAGAACAAGAACUUUGGAACUCAAGAUUUAACUAUGGUUCCAUCACUGACCUUGGGCAUUUGUUGCUGAAACGCAAAGUGUGACAAGCCAAUGGAGAGACAGGAUCUCACUUUUUUUGCCCACUACUGGGCUCAAGCGAUCCUCCUGCCUCCAUCUCCCCAAGUGCUGGGAUUACAGCCAUGAGCCACCAUGCCCGGCCCCAGCUCGCAACUUUCUGUGUGACCUCAGAUAGGAGGUUCUUCAACUGACAGCUACACAUCCACCCCUGCUACUUUCUUCAUUGCCUCCACAGUUUCUAUAAGGAAAAGGCAAAAUCUUCAUACCUGCAGAAUUAGCGCCACAUAGAUGCUGCCAAAGGGUUUUCUGCCUGUGCCCUCUGGAGAGGUGACAUCACAUCCCCCAC